rnacentral:rRNA from 1 species
UACGUAGGGUGCGAGCGUUGUCCGGAAUUAUUGGGCGUAAAGAGCUCGUAGGCGGUCUGUCGCGUCGGUCGUGAAAACUUGGGGCUUAACCCUGAGCUUGCGGUCGAUACGGGCAUGACUGGAGUUCGGCAGGGGAGACUGGAAUUCCUGGUGUAGCGGUGAAAUGCGCAGAUAUCGGGAGGAACACCAAUGGCGAAGGCAGCUCGCUGGGACGUUACUGACGCUGAGACGCGAAAGCGUGGGGAGCAAACAGG